AGCGAACGCUCGCGGCAGGCCUAACACAUGCAAGUCGAACGAACUCUUCGGAGUUAGUGGCGGACGGGUGAGUAACACGUGGGAACGUGCCUUUUGGUUCGGAAUAACUCAGGGAAACUUGUGCUAAUACCGAAUGUGCCCUUCGGGGGAAAGAUUUAUCGCCAUUAGAGCGGCCCGCGUCUGAUUAGCUAGUUGGUGAGGUAACGGCUCACCAAGGCGACGAUCAGUAGCUGGUCUGAGAGGAUGACCAGCCACACUGGGACUGAGACACGGCCCAGACUCCUACGGGAGGCAGCAGUGGGGAAUCUUGCGCAAUGGGCGAAAGCCUGACGCAGCCAUGCCGCGUGAAUGAUGAAGGUCUUAGGAUUGUAAAAUUCUUUCACCGGGGACGAUAAUGACGGUACCCGGAGAAGAAGCCCCGGCUAACUUCGUG
rnacentral:rRNA from 1 species